GUUAUUUUUAUUUCUUGAAUGUUGUCCAGUCUACCUUACGAAGCGUGUCAUCGAAGUCCAGUGAAAUCAAGUUUGGCAUGAGAGUUAAUUUUUAAUGCACCCUGGAUCUUCUGUUCUAUCACUCUUUAGAUCGUCAGUGCUUCGCCGGCUAGUGAUAUACAGUUUCUUGAUUUAAGACGUGGCAAAGAUGCAUACCUUACAAUCGAUGCUCAUAGAGAGGAUCUCUUACAGCUUUAGCUGAUCAUCAGCAUGCACCCCUCGUAGCAAGUGGCUCAACCAAGCAACUUAUCAAAGUGUUCAAUUUGGAGGGUGAGCAAUUAGGUACCAUUCGGUAUUACCCCACUUUCAUGGCCCAAAAGAUAGGAUCGAUUAUCUGUCUUACGUUCCAUCCCUAUCAAGUACUGCUCGCUGUCGAUGCCUAUGUUUCAAUCUAUGCAAACGAGAUCUCUCCGCCCAGAUAGAUGAGUAGUGAAAGUUAAAUUUGCAUUUGAAGGCUAAAUUUGAAGUCCUUGUUGAAAAUGUUUAAUAUAUUUAUUCUGCCUCAUACUCAUGAGUCAACAGAGAGAAGUGGCAACAAAUUCCUUGGAGGCUUUGACAAAUAAACUUUUUUAUAGGUGAAUAAAGCUGUAAAUAUCAUUGUUCUUCCCCUCUCUUUCUACUAUUGAUUUAUCGUUCUACUACUUUCUUCUCCAUUUUUCUUUGUCGGCUCAUAAAAAAUCUGUUGUUU
rnacentral:lncRNA from 1 species